CCAUUUCUCUAGAAAAAAAAAUCCUUUUCUCCAUUUCUCUCUGCUCAUACCACAAAUUUCUUCAAAUCUUCCAAUUCUCUAUGCUCGUUCCAGAAAAUGUGAGCCACAUUUUGGAGACCCAAAAACUCUAACUAGAAAUUGUGACUCCAUCAGGAAUCUGAGUUCUCUAAAGUUGAAGGAGGAAGGAAGAGAGUUCAAAGUCUGAAUAUUCACUGUAAGGGUAACCCGUUUGAAGGUUUUGAAGGUUUGAAGCUGGAAAUCACUUUGAGGGUAUGGAGGCAAAAUCACAAUAAUGAUUCCAGAUGACAUUGAUAGAGCUGUGGGUCCUGGGGCUAGAGAUAUUGUUAAUUACUGUGGUUUGACCAUGAGGAGCAUUAUCUCGUUCCGAGAGGGGAAGUGGCAAAAGAUUGUUUUGAAAUAUGGAGAAGCAAUGUGGUUGAGGGUCAAGAGCAAAUUUGAAGUUUGUGGUGGACUGCGAGAGCAUAAGUUGCAAGGCUUUGUGAUAAAUAAGUAGUAUGCAAAGGCUUUUUAGAGCAUGGAAAGCUCGAUUGCACACUGACUACCUCCGUUAUGCUACUGAUGAAGAGAGAUUGUCUCAUCGACCUGAGGAUUUUUAGUUGGAGGACUGGAAAUACCCAGUAAAGUAUUUUGGAAGUGAAGAAUUCAAGGUAACUUAAUAACCAGUUUUUUUGAAGUUAGGAAAUACCAAGUGUGUUUACUUUUUGAAUAAAGAUAUCCUGAACUCUUGGCUUAGUGCAGAUUGUCAGUGAAAGAAACAAAAGAAAUAGGGAAAAUCAAAUAACUAAGCAUUCUUAUGGUACAAAGUCUUUUGCAGAAGUAGAGGAAUCUACGGUAAGAAUACAGUUGUUCUCCUAUUAUUACAUAGACUGUUUUGUUAUUUAUAUUUAUCUGCUUAUACAUUUUCCUAUUGAACUAUAUUGAAUAGAGAUCCUAUUUCGGGAGAAAAGGACACACCAGAUAAAGUGUGUGAUAUCCAACAU